GAUGAACGCUGGCGGCGUGCCUAAUACAUGCAAGUCGAGCGAACAGAUAAGGAGCUUGCUCCUUUGACGUUAGCGGCGGAAGGGUGAGUAACACGUGGGUAACCUACCUAUAAGACUGGGAUAACUUCGGGAAAACGGAGCUAAUACCGGGUAACAUUUGGAACCGCAUGGUUCUAAAGUGAAAGAUGGUUUUGCUAUCACUUAUAGAUGGACCCGCGCCGUAUUAGCUAGUUGGUAAGGUAACGGCUUCCCAAGGCUACGAUGCGUAGCCGACCUGAGAGCGUGAGCGGCCACACGGGAACUGAGACACGGACCAGACGCCUAGGGGAGGCCGGGGUAGAGAAGCGUGCACAAUGGGCGAAAGCGUGACGGAGCAACGCAGCGUGAGUGAUGAAGGGUUUCGGGUCGUAAAACUCUGUUACUAGUGAAGACGAAAUGUGUAAGUAACUGUGCACGUCUUGACGGUACUUAAUCAGAAAGCCACGGCUAACUACGUG
rnacentral:rRNA from 1 species